rnacentral:rRNA from 1 species
GGCUCAGGAUGAACGCUGGCGGCAGGCUUAACACAUGCAAGUCGAGGGGUAUAGUUCUUCGGAACUAGAGACCGGCGCACGGGUGCGUAACGCGUAUGCAAUCUACCUUUUUACAGAGGGAUAGCCCAGAGAAAUUUGGAUUAAUACCUCAUAGUAUGUGAGAAUCGCAUGGUUUUCACAUUAAAGUUCCAACGGUAAAAGAUGAGCAUGCGUCCCAUUAGCUAGAUGGUAAGGUAACGGCUUACCAUGGCGACGAUGGGUAGGGGUCCUGAGAGGGAGAUCCCCCACACUGGUACUGAGACACGGACCAGACUCCUACGGGAGGCAGCAGUGAGGAAUAUUGGACAAUGGGCGCAAGCCUGAUCCAGCCAUGCCGCGUGCAGGAUGACGGUCCUAUGGAUUGUAAACUGCUUUGUACAGGAAGAAACACUCCCUCGUGAGGGAGCUUGACGGUACUGUAAGAAUAAGGAUCGGCUAACUCCGUG